AAUUAUGUACUGAUUUGCAGCAUGGACUGAUGUAUCGAGGGAUCUCCAACUUAAAGGAUUAUCUGAAACACAGGUCAUUACCAGUAAAGCUAAGCAUCUGUACAAAGCAAUCCAGAGGUACAUCAAGCUAAUGUCUACAAAAGGUGUACAGCUUGAGGGUCUCAACUCGGAGCUAAAAAGCAUUGCUGGCAACUUAAACAAGGUCUCUAAAGGAGCAAAGAUAGCUGGCAUAACUGGAGGUGCAUCAUCAGCAGCAGGAGGGGUGGCAGCGGCCGCCGGGGUGAUUCUGGCCCCUUUCACAGCCGGAGCCUCACUGGCACUUACUGUUGUUGGAGCUGGUGUGGUUGCUGCUGGGGGUGUCACCGGUGCAUCAGCAGCCAUUGCAC